GACGAACGCUGGCGGCGUGCUUAACACAUGCAAGUCGAGCGGGGAGGAGAAAGCUUGCUUUCGAAUCCUAGCGGCGGACGGGUGAGUAACGCGUGAGCAACCUGCCUCUUACAGGGGGAUAACGCAUCGAAAGAUGUGCUAAUACCGCGUAAGACCACAGCAUCACAUGGUGCAGGGGUCAAAGGAGCAAUCCGGUAAGAGAUGGGCUCGCGUCCGAUUAGCUAGUUGGCGGGAUAACAGCCCACCAAGGCGACGAUCGGUAGCCGACCUGAGAGGGUGAUCGGCCACAUUGGGACUGAGAUACGGCCCAGACUCCUACGGGAGGCAGCAGUCGGGAAUAUUGCGCAAUGGAGGAAACUCUGACGCAGUGACGCCGCGUAUAGGAAGAAGGUUUUCGGAUCGUAAACUUCUGUCCUUAGGGAAGAUAAUGACGGUACCUUUGGAGGAAGCCCCGGCUAACUACGUG
rnacentral:rRNA from 1 species